CACUAGUCACCAAUCAGAAACUUAGAACUCUCUCUACACUCUCUCUCCCCGAACUCUCAUUCUCUCUGCAACAAGCAAACUCGACGAUUAAACUUCAUAAACACGACUUGAAAAUACCCCAUUGUGUUCCCUUCACCACCACGAGCAUAGCCAUGCAACCAAAUCAUGAUUUGGUUAAGGUUUGACUCACCAACUCGAAAGGUCCGAACUCAGUGAGUUUGAGUUCAACAUUUUCAGGCCGAGUCGAGAAGUUUUGAAGUACGGGGAAGCUCUCUUACAACUCCCUAAGACUCCUAGACUAGUUUUGGUGAGGAAUUGACGUAAAAAACACGAGGUUUUGAAGAGUUGAGUUUUAGCUGUACCUUUCGAGGCUUGUCAGGCCAUCUCCGUCCAUUUUUUGGACUCCAAAAAGAAACUGGCGAACCAGACGGCAGCGACGGGUGAGGACCACUGAAGAAGGCGAUGAAAUAUUCCAUCAACCCUUAUGGAAUAUUCUAACGGUGUUAG